ACCCUGUCUUUAACCUUUAUACCAAACAGUUUUUUUUUAAACUAAACUGUACACAAUCCUUCUUGCUCAAUGGAUCAACCAUCGAUUUCCCUAUUACCAGAAGAUGUUCCUGGUGCUGUUUUACGCCAUGGUGUAAAUAUUGAGGACCAUUCUAACCUGGAGUUGCAAAGGUGGUUAGAGUGUCGUGCAUUAAAGAAAACAGGAAAUAAAACUGAUUUAGUGCAAAGGGUUGUAAACUGUAUUGAAGCGGGACGCAGUAAUAGUAUUUCCCUAGCUAUUGAUGGAGGCAAAUGGUACGAUAUGAAACGGAACGUUGUUGUAACUGCUUCCACUUCAACUGCUGCAUCAGGUCCUGCAUCUGAUGAGACUCUUCUGUGGGCAACAUUCCCAUCUCGUUGUAAUGGAAUAAGAAUAUAAAAUAUUGAUUUGCGCAUGACAUGACGUGACAAUUAAUUAUUAAUUAACUCAUAACUGAUUAAGUAAAGCGUUGCGUGCAGUCAGUAAUAAUCGUAAUGUAGUAGA